rnacentral:tRNA from 1 species
AGGCGCGUAGCUCAGCUGGUUAGAGCACUACCUUCACAUGGUAGGGGUCAUUGGUUCGAAUCCACUCGCGCCUA